GGGACUCUUUCCCUAAGGAUCUAACUCAAAUGACUUCAUGUUCCAAGCAAAGACAGAGUCUUGUUCGGUCGCGCAUGCUGGCGUACAGUGCCACAAUCACAGCUCACCGCAGCUUCCAACUUCUGGACUCACGUGAUCCUUCUGCCUCAGACUUCCAAGUACCUGGGACUGCAGGCACGAAUCACCACAGCCAGCUUGGAGUGACUUUCUAAGGGUAAUUACAAAAGUAAACUUCUUUAACAUAGCUAUAUCACAGCACGAGUGGGAGGAAGGAAGAUGAGGAGGAGAUGGUUCUUCCUACUGGUCCUAAAAAUGCUCUUGAGUGAUAUCUCUACAAUCAAGGUUCAAUUAUUUAUUGCCUCAGCUCAACAUCUUGUAGAAUUUAGGACUACAAAACGAGAGGAAAAACAAAGGAAAGAAGAGUGGUUGUGGUAAUGAUUACUGCUGUGGUGAAAAUGUCCCCCAAAUUGGAUUGUGAUACAUUAAAAAAACAAUAACAAUAUAUCUAACAAAAACAAAGAGCCAUCAAUUUAAAAAAUGGAAGACAGAAAUGUAAGUUAUAUUUUUUUAUAUGAUAAAAACCUCAUUACUUUAGGUAACUUGCAAUGUUUCUCAACUUUGGUGCUCAUCUGGAUUACCUAAGGAGUGACAAAUUCUGUUUCAUUAGGUUUGAGGUAGAACCUAGGACUUCAUGAACAGUUAUGAAUGCUCUAGAGAAGCCUUCGA
rnacentral:lncRNA from 1 species